rnacentral:rRNA from 1 species
CCUACGGGCGGCUGCAGUGGGGAAUAUUGGACAAUGGGCGAAAGCCUGAUCCAGCCAUGCCGCGUGUGUGAAGAAGGCCUUCGGGUUGUAAAGCACUUUCAGUGGGGAAGAAAGCCUUGGGGCUAAUACCCUCGAGGAAGGACAUCACCCACAGAAGAAGCACCGGCUAACUCCGUGCCAGCAGCCGCGGUAAUACGGAGGGUGCGAGCGUUAAUCGGAAUUACUGGGCGUAAAGCGCGCGUAGGCGGUCUGAUAAGCCGGUUGUUAAAGCCCCGGGCUCAACCUGGGAACGGCAUCCGGAACUGUCAGGCUAGAGGGCAGGAGAGGAAGGUAGAAUUCCCGGUGUAGCGGUGAAAUGCGUAGAGAUCGGGAGGAAUACCAGUGGCGAAGGCGGUCUUCUGGACUGACACUGACGCUGAGGUGCGAAAGCGUGGGUAGCAAACAGGAUUAGAUACCCUAGUAGUC